CCACAUUGUUCUCCCACCCAUAUAAUUGAAACAGAAGAGCAUAAAAAAGAAAGAAGAGAAGGAAAAGCGUACAGGACAGAAAGGAAAAGAAACCAGCCUGAACCAAAUGCCUUGCAUUUUUCUGAUCAUCAUGAGAAAGAACUGUGCUGCUACCUUCAGAUUUCCACCAUAAAAGACUGCCAAUUGCCAGCCAGCUCUGAGAAAGAAGUGUUCUCCCUCAAUUCCAUCGCUUUUGUAUCCAUAUGCAACCAUGCCCACAUAACAGCUUUGAUUCUCAUGACUAAUUGCACAGCUGAAGUUGUGGCCUCCCUAAAUAUUUCCUCAUUUCUCACUGACCAGAUGCACCAGACCCAGACCACUGCAUAGGGCAGCAGAUUCCAGACCUUCUUUGCCAAUUCCCCUCCAGUCAAAGUUGGCCAUUGCUCCAUACACUGUUUGAGUGACUGCCACAUGCCCACAUGUUGAAACUGAGUCUUGCUGUCCUGCACACGCCGAUCAGUUCCGUCCACACAUGUUAUACAAUUUAUACAUAUUACUGCUGCUACAAUGUUGCUUUAACUUUUAUACAGACUAAUUAAAGAAGCGUUGAUAUGGAAAUAAGCUUAGUUUGUAUUAAACAUUUAACCCAAGGGCCAAGUCAGGAAAAGUUAAAACAAGCUCACAGAUUACUCCUUAAUGAUAUUCUUACGAUCAAACAAGACUUCAUAAGAGAAACCCCCACCCCCCACCCCACCCAAAAAAAAAAAAAAAUAGUUAUCAAUGAAUUAAGAAAUUAUUAGGUAUGCAUAAGAGAGUACCUCAAUGCCCACCUUGUGAAGAGGCUUACAUGGGGCAUAACAGCUAAGUUGAAUGGGUUUUCUCUGUACAUUACUUGAAAGUUGAAACACCACAAAAUCUCACUGGAUAUAACGAUACAAAAAAAAUGAUAGGGAUUAGAGUUUACCAACUUGGUCAGAAUAGUUGCCGUGUUAGAGAUAAUGGACCAAAAUGCUCACGAAUCAGAAGGUCUUUCUAAAUAUUCACAACCAUUGAAGAACACCAAAUAAAUACAAACAGGACACAUCUCAAAAUACGGCUUAGAACAAUUGACAACCAAAUUGGAAGCACA
rnacentral:lncRNA from 1 species